CCUACGGGAGGCAGCAGUGAGGAAUAUUGGUCAAUGGGCGGGAGCCUGAACCAGCCAAGUCGCGUGAGGGACGACGGUCCUAUGGAUUGUAAACCUCUUUUGUCGGGGAACAAAGGCGCCCACGGGUGGGCGGAUGAGUGUACCCGAAGAAAAAGCAUCGGCUAACUCCGUGCCAGCAGCCGCGGUAAUACGGAGGAUGCGAGCGUUAUCCGGAUUUAUUGGGUUUAAAGGGUGCGUAGGCGGAAUGCCAAGUCAGCGGUAAAAUCGCGGGGCUCAACCUCGCUCCGCCGUUGAAACUGGCGUUCUUGAGUGGGCGAGAAGUAUGCGGAAUGCGUGGUGUAGCGGUGAAAUGCAUAGAUAUCACGCAGAACUCCGAUUGCGAAGGCAGCAUACCGGCGCCCAACUGACGCUGAAGCACGAAAGCGUGGGUAUCGAACAGGAUUAGAUACCCCAGUAGUC
rnacentral:rRNA from 1 species